rnacentral:lncRNA from 1 species
CUUAAGAGUAACUUGCUGUUAUCCUGCGUGCACACACUGCAGCCCAGCGCCACUAUUUGGGCGUUAGCUAGUUUUUUAAUCUGAGGCUUUGACUUCCUUUCAUCUUCCUGAAUCUGAUCUAGUUCAUCUUUAGAAAGUGCUUAAGGGACUGAGGAUCGCAAAGACUCACUCUAAAGAAGAUUAAGGCUUCCAGGUGAGAAGUACGGGGCUUCACAAUUGAGAAUCAGAGUGAAAAGGAGAAACUGGCCUUUAUUGAUUAUCGACUAUUAUCAGUCAUUCUUGGAUAAGAAAGAGCUGUGCAGAGCAGAUGAUGACUGAGAACACUAUAGAAGGCUGAGAAUUCCCUCUGCAGCAACCCUGACAAAUGAGCAUGGAACUUCAGGGAAAAUUUCUCCAGAAUAGUGAAGCUCAUUACCAGAGACCCACCCAGACAGCAAGAUGAAGCUUAACAAAAAAUAAAGGAAUGGCCUCCACUUGGAUUCAAAAUGAAAACUGCAAAAAUUUCAAGAUAAAAAGACCUCCAUAAUGAUAAAGAAACAACCUACAGCAAAAACCUUCAGCUGAGCCCAUCUUAUUUCUGCCACAGAAUUUUAGAAUUGGGUGUACAUGCACCUCAGCAGUAUUCUGAGCACCUGAGCAGUAUUCUUCCCUUUGAUAUCUACAGAAUUUUUUGGCCAACAUGUUUCCAGAAACAGAGAACCAUUCACGACUUUCCAAUAAAGCUAUUCCACAUUUAGACAAAUAUAUUCAAUGUUAAUACUAAAAGCUGCUCCCUAUUCCAAAUUCUCACAUCAUGCCUUAACUCUUGUCUUUGGGACAACUUAGACUGUUUAUUCCUUAACCACAAACAGUCCACCACAUACUUGAGGAAGAUUCCCAUAGCUACAGAACUCAACUCUUUCCCAAAUAAAAUUUACCUUCACUUUUCCCGGCAAGACAUUGAAAUCAAUUACUCUUCCCUGGUAGAAUGGAACUUCUAUGAGUAAAUAUGGGGCAUGCAUGUCAAGGAAAAGGUGGAUGUUAGCUUAAACAAAGAAGUGAGAUCCUGGGAGAAGUUCAACAUAUUGCAGUAUUUACCCUGAAAGACACUCAGUCUUAAAUAAAAAUAAAUCAAAUAUUUUAAUCUUCUUUUAACUCAUUCAUCCCAAUAUGACAAUGAAUUUUCAUAUAUCACUUUAAAUUCAUGACACACACAAGUCAAAUAUUGAACACUGAUUUUGAGUCAUUGCAGGGCACAAAAAUUGUGAGCUCUUUCAGACCCAAAAUAACACUACACAACCAAAUGCCCCCGUAACAAUUUUUCUCACAGUUAAUUUUAAGUAGUACUCAAAGACCAGUUAUAAAGCAGAGAAAACAGCAUCUUUUGCUAAGCAUUGCCAAGUUAGAAUACACAAGAAUAGAUGCAAAGAAUUCCACCAACCUUUGAGGGCUGCAAGGUUGCUGAAAGCCUUUCAGAAAACCCAUGGCCUAAAUCUACAGCCCAAAUGCAUUGCCAUAGCAUACAAUAAGUGGCUGUGGCAUGAUCAGUGAGGAGAGAGAGGACUCUGAUCAGUGAUUCUGAAGACAUCCCAGAGCAGGAAACAUGGAGCGUGGGUGGGCACCCACAAUCUCCCUGACAUAGGAGUCAAGCUGGCUCUAUGGAUUGAGCCCUGCUUCCCUGCCUGACAACAUCUCUGGAAGCAAAGCAGCAAACUUCCAUAGGCUUCAUGUUCUCCUCAAAUACCCAUGGUAGCCACCCCAUGGUAUGAAGAGUGGCAACACGUCUGGUCUAAGUCGGGAAACUGACACCCUCAGUGUCACCAUCAUUUCAACUCAAGGGGUCCAUUCACCUCCUUCCCAGCACAUUCUGAUAGCCUCUGCAGAGACGGCACCCUCAGACUUCAAUUCUUGAUCCCUACCACUUUAUAACUACAAUUUCUUUUGCAUUUGUAAAAUGCAGAUUUAAAACUAGAGAAUACAUUUCAUUUCAAGGAAACCUAGAAAAAACUAAAACAGAAACAAAACCAAAACCAUUCUUAUGUAAUUUACAUCUUGUAAUACAUGCUUCAUGAUGCGGACACUGUUGUGUUGGAUUUUCCUCCUCCUUACUUCUGCUGACCCACUCAGAAGAUCUCACUACAGAGCUUUCUAGAAGAGCAAAAACAAGUAUACACCACCUAAAAUGACACAUUUUAAUCAGGAAAUAUAAUCUUUUCCCUCUCACUUUUCCCCCUACCUAUAGACCAUAGGAAGCUUCCCAUGUCUCAGAGUGAACAUAAUGUUCAGAAUCUCAGCCGAAAGAAAAAUCAUACUUCUAUUCCUGAAAAUAAUGCUUUAAAAUAUCCAACAUUAGGUAACCAAAUAUCUAUUGAGCAUCUCUUAUGUACCAGGCAUUGUUCCAAGUGCUGGGGAUACAGGGAACAGAACAAAGAAAAAUGUGUAUGUGGGAUAAUAAUUACUAAGGAAGAGGGGGAGUGGGAUAGGAAGUGCUAGGGAGAGUAAGAUUGACCUGCAUCAGUGAGGAAAGACCUGAUAGAGGUGAGGGAUUUGUCCAAGCAGGGAAGGACAUUUGAAGCAGAGGGAACAGCAAGUGCAAAGGGUUUGAGGCCACAAGGUGUCUGGAGGCUCAAGGAACAAGGUGGAGGAUGUGGCUGUAGCUGAGGAAGAAGAUGGGGAAGAGAGGGAGCCAGAUCCUGUGAGGCUUGUGGUUCAACAGGAGGAAUUUUGGCUUCUACACUCAGUGAGAUGCAAAGCCAUGGCAGGGUUGUAAGCAGAAGCGCAGCAUGAACAGACUUCUCUUUCAACAGGAUCACGCUAACUACUUUGUGGAAAAUAUACUGCAGCUGGGAAAUUAUGGAAGCUCUGAGAUACAAGGCAGCUGAAAUGAUCUAGAAGGGAUGGCGGCUUGAGGCAAGGGAGAUCAACUUUUGGGAGGUGUAAAGAAGUGGAAUCCUGAAUAGGUUUUUGGUUUGUUUCUUUGUUUUUUGUUUUUCUAAGUAGCUUUUGAGGAGGAGUCAACAGAUUUCCUGACAGAUUAGAUGUGGAUCCUGAAAAAAUGAGAAACUUGAAGGAGAACUCCAAGACUUUUGCCCUGGGCAAUCAGAAGAAUGGAGUUGCCAUUAACUAAGAUAAGGAAUGUUGCAGGAAUUUUGGAGUGGAAAGAUAUCAGGAGUUCAAUUUUGCACAUAUUAAGGGGAGGAGUCUCUACAGUGUCAUCACUCCUGCUUUUACAAGAAUUCCAAGGCCAAGUUUGUGGAUUAACUUGGAAUGGGAGAGGAAAGAGGAAUUCCAAGGCAGGAUUACCUGGAUUCUGCAUGCUACUAAAGACCGCCACCCAUUUCUGCCCCAUACUCAGGCCAUGCAAGGGAGAGGGUAUAAAAUCUACUACUACUACUUGCUGCCUCUACAGUUCUCUGCUUAUGUCAGACAAAAGACUAUAGGAGAUACGUGGCUGAGGAAGCAGCAGAGAAAAAGUGUUACUUUCCUUAUUACACCUACCCAACAUUAAUUUAAGUCUCUUAAAGAGAAUGUAUGGAUGAUCCAGACACAAAAACUGUGAAA